CCCUUAGAUGUUCUGGGCCGCACGCGCGCUACACUGAUGAAGUCAUCGAGUUUAUAACCUACACCGAUAGGUGCGGGUAAUCUUUUGAAACUUCAUCGUGAUGGGGAUUGAUCUUUGUAAUUUUCGAUCAUAAACGAGGAAUUCCUAGUAAGCGCGAUUCAUCAGAUCGUGCUGAUUACGUCCCUGCCCUUUGUACACACCGCCCGUCGCUACUACCGAUUGAAUGGUUUAGUGAGAUCUUGGGAUUGACGCUUUGGAGCUGGCAACAGCACCUUUGCGUCGAGAACUUGCUCAAACUUGGUCAUUUAGAGGAAGUAAAAGUCGUAACA
rnacentral:rRNA from 1 species